rnacentral:rRNA from 1 species
CGCCAUCGAAUGAGGCAAGACUACCCGCUGAACUUAAGCAUAUCACUAAGCGGAGGAGAAGAAACUAACCAGGAUGCCCCUAGUAAUGGCGAAUGAAGCGGGCUGAGCUCACGCUGCCAAUCUGGAGGCCUCGCGUAUGCAGCGCCCCCCGAAUUGUGGUCUAGAGAGGCGUUAUCGGCCGCGCCCGCUGCUCAAGUCCCUUGGAACAGGGUGUCGGAGAGGGUGAGAAUCCCGUACCGUGGCGGGUUGCGGCCUUACGAUGCGUCCUCGUCGAGUCGGGUUGCUUGGGAUUGCAGCUUGAAUUGGGUGGUAAAUUCCAUCUAAAGCUAAAUACUGGCGAGAGACCGAUAGCGAACAAGUACCGUGAGGGAAAGAUGCAAAGAACUUUGAAAAGAGAGUCAAAGAGUGCUUGAAAUCGGUAGGAGGAAACCCGGAUGGGCCCGGCUUCGGCGCGCCGACUCAGCCUGGGUUCUCCCCAGGUGCACUUCUGCGCGCCGGGUCAGCCGCGCCUCGGCGCCGCGCCUCAACCCGGGAGCGGGGCUUUACGGCCAGCUCCCGUCCUGGCGCGGCCCGGGGCCCGGCUGACGGAACGGGCCCCUCCGACCCGUCUAGAAACACGGACCAAGGAGUCUGACACGUGUGCGAGUACCCGGGUGGCAAGCCCGCGUGCGGAAUGAAAGUGAAGGGCAUGCCCUGCCAACCGACCUUGACCUGCUGUGAGGGGUUUGAGUGGAGCACACCUGUCGGGACCCGAAAGAUGGUGAACUAUGCCUGGGUAGGGUGAAGCCAGAGGAAACUCUGGUGGAGGCUCGUAGCGAUACUGACGUGCAAAUCGUUCGUCGAAUCUGGGUAUAGGGGCGAAAGACUAAUCGAACCAUCUAGUAGCUGGUUCCCUCCGAAGUUUCCCUCAGGAUAGCUUGAACGCAACGGUUUUGUCAGGUAAAGCGAAUGAUUAGAGGCCUGUGGGCUGAAACAGCUUGCACCUAUUCUCAAACUUUAAAUGGGCAAGAGGCCCGGGAUGCUUGAGUGAUCCCGGGCGGCGAACGGCGCGUUCAAAGUGGGCCAUUUUUGGUAAGCAGAACUGGCGAUGCGGGAUGAACCGAACGCCGCGCUAAGGUACCCAAGUGUCCGCUCAUCAGAUACCACAAAAGGCGUUGGUACCUCCAGACAGCAGGACGGUGGCCAUGGAAGUCGGAACCCGCUAAGGAGUGUGUAACAACUCACCUGCCGAAGGUACUAGCCCUGAAAAUGGAUGGCGCUCAAGCGGACCACCGAUGCGCGGCCGCCGGCGCGAGCGCGAGGCGCCGGCGAGUAGGAGGGCGCGGGGCUCGCGGCGCAGCCUUGGGCGCGAGCCUGGGUGAAGCGGGCCCCGGUGCAGAUCUUGGUGGUAGUAGCAAAUAUUCAAAUGAGAACUUUGAAGACUGAAGUGGAGAAAGGUUCCGUGUGAACAGCAGUUGGACACGGGUGAGCCGACCCUAAGAGACAGGAAAACUCCGCCGAACGCGGCUGGUUCUGUCAGCCCGUCCGUCGAAAGGGAAUCGGGUUAAUAUUCCCGAGCCAGCGCGUGGAUGGUGGGCGGCGACGCGAACGAACCCGGAGACGCCGGCGGGAGCCCUGGGAAGAGUUCUCUUUUCUUCUUAACUGCCUCCUGCCCUGGAAUCGGUUUAGCCGGAGCGAGGGCUACACGGCAGGCAAAGCACCCUAAGUCUUGGGGUGUCCGGCGCGCUCCCGACGGCCCGUGAAAAUCCGGGGGAGCGGUUCGUUCUCACGCCUGGUCGUACUCAUAACCGCAUCAGGUCUCCAAGGUGAACAGCCUCUAGUCGAUAGAGCAAUGUAGGUAAGGGAAGUCGGCAAAAUGGUUCCGCAACCUCGGGAGAAGGAAUGGCUCUGAAGGCUGGGCGCAGGGGUCCUAGGCUCGAGGCCGGCUGGCUGCGCGGGGACUACGGCCUCACGGCUGCGGAUCCCGCGCGGCCGUCCGGCGGACGGCCUAGGAGCGCUCCGGCUCUCCCUGCGCGACGAACAGCCGCUUCAGAACUGGCGCGGACAAGGGGAAUCCGACUGUUUAAUUAAAACAAAGCAUUGCGAUGGCCCGCGAGGGUGCUGACGCAAUGUGAUUUCUGCCCAGUGCUCUGAAUGUCAAAGUGAAGAAAUUCAACCAAGCGCGGGUAAACGGCGGGAGUAACUAUGACUCUCUUAAGGUAGCCAAAUGCCUCGUCAUCCAAUUAGUGACGCGCAUGAAUGGAUUCGUGAGAUUCCCACUGUCCCUAUCUACUGUCUAGCGAAACCACAGCCAAGGGAACGGGCUUGGAAGAAUCAGCGGGGAAAGAAGACCCUGUUGAGCUUGACUCUAGUCUGUUACUGUGGAACGACUUGAUGGGUGUAGAAUAUGCGGGAGGGGCAACCCGACAGUGAAAUACCGCAACCGUCAACGUUGUUUUACUUACUCGGUGGCGCGGAGGGAGGCUCGCCUCACUUCUGGAUCCAAGCCGCUUCGUGCGCGCGAUCCGCGUCGGGGACACUAACAGGUGGGGAGUUUGGCUGGGGCGGCACGUCUGUUAAAAAAUAACGCAGGCGCCCGAUUUUGAGCUCAAUGAGAACAGAAAUCUCAUGUGGACCGAAAGGGGAAAAGCUCGGUUGAUUUUGAUUUUCAGUACGAAUACAAACCGCGAAAGCGUGGCCUAUCGAUCCUCUCGUCUUUGGGAAUUUCAAGCUAGAGGUGUCAGAAAAGUUACCACAGGGAUAACUGGCUUGUGGCUGCCAAGCGUUCAUAGCGACGUAGCUUUUUGAUCCUUCGAUGUCGGCUCUUCCUAUCACUGCCUCGCAGCGGGGGCCAAAUGCAGGAUUGUUCACCCACCAACAGGGAACGUGAGCUGGGUUUAGACCGUCGUGAGACAGGUUAGUUUUACCCUACUGCUGUCUGUUUUUCUACGGUAAUUUGGUUCAUCUGUUGU